UACGUAGGCAGCAAGCGUUGUUCGGAAUUACUGGGCGUAAAGCGAGUGUAGGCGGUUCGAUAAGUUUGGUGUGAAAUCUCCCGGCUCAACUGGGAGGGUGCGCCGAAGACUGUCGAGCUAGAGUGUGGGAGAGGUAGGCGGAAUUCCUGGUGUAGCGGUGAAAUGCGUAGAUAUCGGGAGGAACACCAGUGGCGAAGGCGACUACCUGGCCUGUUCUUGACGCUGAGGCGCGAAAGCUAGGGGAGCAAACGGG
rnacentral:rRNA from 1 species